CCUACGGGUGGCAGCAGUGGGGGAUAUUGGACAAUGGAGGGAACUCUGAUGCAGCAACGCCGCGUGAAGGAUGAAGGUUUUCGGAUUGUAAACUUCUGUCACGAGGGAUGAGGAGAGAACGUUACUCGUAGGAUAACCCACGGAUAAGACGUUGCAGCCACCGCGGUAAUAAGUAGGGGGCCAGCGUUGUUCCGAAUUACUGGGCGGAAAGGGAGGGUAGGCGGGAUAGUAAGUUAGGUGUGAAAGCCCGCGGCUCAACCGCGGAAUUGCAAAUGAAACUGGUAGGCUUGAGUUUAGGAGAGGCAAGUGGAAUUCCCGGUGUAGCGGUGGAAUGCGUAGAUAUUGGGAGGAACACCAGUGGCGAAGGCGACCUACUGGACGAUAACUGACGCUGAGGCGCGAAAGCGUGGGGAGCAAACAGGAUUAGAUACCCCAGUAGUC
rnacentral:rRNA from 1 species